rnacentral:rRNA from 1 species
UACGUAGGGUGCAAGCGUUAGUCGGAAUUACUGGGCGUAAAGCGUGCGCAGGCGGUUGUGCAAGACAGAUGUGAAAUCCCCGGGCUUAACCUGGGAACUGCAUUUGUGACUGCACGGCUAGAGUGUGUCAGAGGGGGGUAGAAUUCCACGUGUAGCAGUGAAAUGCGUAGAGAUGUGGAGGAACACCGAUGGCGAAGGCAGCCUCCUGGGCCAGCACUGACGCUCAUGCACGAAAGCGUGGGGAGCAAACAGG